UACGUAGGGUGCGAGCGUUGUCCGGAAUUAUUGGGCGUAAAGAGCUCGUAGGCGGUCUGUCGCGUCUGCUGUGAAAACCUAGGGCUUAACUCUGGGCGUGCAGUGGGUACGGGCAGGCUAGAGUCCGGUAGGGGAGUGUGGAAUUCCCGGUGUAGCGGUGAAAUGCGCAGAUAUCGGGAGGAACACCAGUAGCGAAGGCGGCACUCUGGGCCGGUACUGGACGCUGAGGAGCGAAAGCGUGGGGAGCGAACAGG
rnacentral:rRNA from 1 species